AGUGAACGCUGGCGGUAGGCCUAACACAUGCAAGUCGAACGGCAGCACAGUAAGAGCUUGCUCUUACGGGUGGCGAGUGGCGGACGGGUGAGGAAUACAUCGGAAUCUACUUUUUCGUGGGGGAUAACGUAGGGAAACUUACGCUAAUACCGCAUACGACCUACGGGUGAAAGCAGGGGAUCUUCGGACCUUGCGCGAUUGAAUGAGCCGAUGUCGGAUUAGCUAGUUGGCGGGGUAAAGGCCCACCAAGGCGACGAUCCGUAGCUGGUCUGAGAGGAUGAUCGGCCACACUGGAACUGAGACACGGUCCAGACUCCUACGGAGGCAGCAGUGGGGAAUAUUGGACAAUGGGCGCAAGCCUGAUCCAGCCAUACCGCGUGGGUGAAGAAGGCCUUCGGGUUGUAAAGCCCUUUUGUUGGGAAAGAAAAGCAGCAGGUUAAUACCCCGCUGUUCUGACGGUACCCAAAGAAUAAGCACCGGCUAACUUCGUG
rnacentral:rRNA from 1 species